rnacentral:rRNA from 1 species
AUACGUAGGGGGCGAGCGUUGUCCGGAAUGAUUGGGCGUAAAGGGCGCGUAGGCGGCCCGGUAAGUCUGGAGUGAAAGUCCUGUUUUUAAGAUGGGAAUUGCUUUGGAUACUGUCGGGCUUGAGUGCAGGAGAGGUAAGUGGAAUUCCCAGUGUAGCGGUGAAAUGCGUAGAGAUUGGGAGGAACACCAGUGGCGAAGGCGACUUACUGGACUGUAACUGACGCUGAGGCGCGAAAGUGAGGGGAGCAAACAGGAUUAGAUACCCUGGUAGUCCACACUGUAAACGAUGAAUGCUAGGUGUAGGGGGUAUCGACCCCUUCUGUGCCGCAGUCAACACAAUAAGCAUUCCGCCUGGGGAGUACGGCCGCAAGGUUGAAACUCAAAUGAAUUGGCGGGG